ensembl:lncRNA
GGAGAAAGUGUGUCACAAUAAUGCUUUAGCUGUCAUUCAGUUUCUGUGUCUGUUUAUGAAUCGUUUGGUGUCACGUUAAGGAGAUGCAAAUUGCUGCAAAAAAGUUGUCAUUGACAGCAAAAAUAAGGAAAGAAUAGUGACUAAACAAGUAAGAGGAAUGUUGUGAAGUCAGGGGGAAAUGGUAACUCGAUGUUUAAGACCUUGGGAGUUUAAAACUUCUCAUAGGAAGGUCGUGAGUAAGGUCAAAGCAAGGCCCUUAACCCUGAACUGCUCAGUGAUAUAAAUGUAAGUCACUCUGGAUAAAGGUGUCUGCCAAAUGCCCUUAAUGUAAACCUGCAUCUUGCUUGAUCCACUUGUUGCUGGUCCAGUUCGGUCUGAGAGCAGUCACUGUUGGGGUCAGUGCCUUGAUGAACUGCUUGACGACUUGACCUUCACUCAUCUUGACCACCGUUAUUCAGACUCCUCUCCAACCACCCUGGUCAGACAGACUUCCACGCACAGAGACAUUCACCAGCAAACAUCGAUGACAUUCACUCUUCUCUGAGAGGUCUGGUACCGCCGGUACAGGUGGCGUCCCACUGCGGAGAGCCAGGCCGUUCCUCAACUGUUUCUAUUCAGGAAACGAGGUUUACUGCCUAAACAUCACGGUGGCCGAAUCUCAGAUGAAGCUUCUGACACAUCGGAUGCAUGAAGGGUUGCAAGAAGAGCGUAGUGAGUCUGAGGUCAUCUGAACCAUAACAAACCAAAAAAUUAUAUGUAUUUAAGUAUAUGCUCGAUGGCCUGAAUGGUAAACGCUGAAGUCGAAGGUGUCCGGAUAGACCCUAAAGCCAUAGAAGUGGCGCUGAAGCCAAAUAAUUCAAGAACUGUAGAAGUUUGAGUGUUACUGUUGAUUUUUAUAUUUAUAUAUAUAUAUAUAUAUAUAUAUAUAUAUAUAUAUAUAUAUAUACACACACAGGAUUUUCUACCAGAUCUUGUCUUGCCUUAUAGAAGUGUUCAUGAGCCUAUGUUGACGCAUCUAAUGAAGGCCCGGGGGACAGUUCUUUAUCAGCAGCAGGGUUCAAGAUAUUGUAUAAUUGUGUCUCCCACCACGCACUCGCUUCGUAUUAGUUACUCAGUGUUGUGGAACGUCCGCAAAAUAGUUCCUGUUAACACUUAACGAAGCUUAUAAAAAUGAGUGCGUUCAUAUAAACCCGUGUGACCUUGUAACUGCUGUAUAAGAAUCCAGUUAAAGUGACUAGCUAAUAGAGAGUUUGUAGAACAGCAAUUCACAUAUCUUUAAAUCUCGGAUAAAGCCUUACAAUUCCAAAGUGUCCAUAUAUUUGGGAUAUGUAACAUAAACACUUAAUAUAACCUUAUAUAUAGGGAAUCCCAGCUGCAAUACCAGCUGAAGUUCCGUUUAGUAAAAUUGAAUCGUGGAUUUUUUUUUUUUUUGAUAUCACUGCAAAACUAUGAGUGAUGAGAUAAAGUAAAGCAGAAAGCAAAAUGUGCUUACUGUGAUAUCAUUUCCUAAAUGGUUGCCUUUGCCGAAGCAUUUUAAAGAUGCCAUCGAGAGUGAAACUGGUGAUGAUUGUGUCUAGUGAGAUCCAUAAUUAGAUGACUCAGAUACAUUAGCCACACGAGCUGAAAUGAAUCAAGAGAGGCAGAGUGAAAGCGAACGAGCUGAAGGCCUUAAAUGAUGCUGAAAUCCAAUCAGCACUGAGAGAGGGUGGGUUGUUUUUUCUAACCACCUAAAAAAAAAAAAAAAAUCCAUAACCCAUCAGAGGACCAAAUGGAGCAACACCGAACCCACACACGACGAAUGGCUCCAUGGCAACGGGCAAUAAAAUCCAUCAUCUAUAAACCUCAUCACUGAGCAGUCUAUCAACAGUUACAUUUAUUUAUUUAUUUAUGAUUAUUUUUCUGAUUAGAGCAUCCGCAGGUCGCGUGAGGGAUGCAGUUCAGUGUGAACAUGAUGAGUCAAGCCUGGUAUGAGAGCAUGGCAUCAGGCCCAUCUUCAACGGUCUACAUUUCCAGCUGGCAUGGUCGUACUGAGUCGCGGCGCAGCCAUAACUGUAAUAGGUUCUUUCCUGGGGAGAAGAGAAGGGAUUCUUGCUAGGUUCUAAAUGUAGGGCUAAAACAUUUCCUUGAAUUAAUCAAGUAAUUUGGCAUAAGACCAUAAUCCUCUGCUUCAAAAAAUGUUGUACAGUGUGUGUACUGCGUACUAUAUCUAGCACACCACAAACUCAUAUACCACAUACUCACACUGUGCUGGCGUGAGAUUAAGUAAUUAAACAAUAACAGCUUGUCUGUUUUGCCCUGCGAUGGACUGGCAUCCAGUCCUGGGUGAAUUCUCCCAGUCGAACAGUCGACUUCAGGGUGGUAACCUUAAAUCUAAUUUUUCUUGGGCUGCAUCACACCACCCUCUCGUUGAUUAUUUUCCUAGAACAGUAUCUUCCUUACAUAUCAUCAUCAUCAUCAUCAUCAUCUUCAUUACCAAUAUAAACUAAACUCAUGGAAAGAUAAUUGCUCUUUGGCUCCGAUUAUUAAACCUGCCAUUCUCACUUUUAUUUUAGCCUCAGGUUUUAUUUUUUAAAGAUUAAUUAUUUAGUAUUUUACAGCAUCGUUUUACUUGUAGUAAAUAUUUGAAAUGAGAACAUAAAGAAAUUAGUACAUUAGGGGGAAAACUCCUCUAAAUUGUGCCACGUGAAGCCAACCAGGAAUCUCCUGCGCACAUAAUCUCCAAGAUCUUCAGCGGGAGAAAUCAGAUUUAUUUUUUGCAGGAUGAAUGGACUAGUCUGUGUGUUUUAUUAAAUCCAUGGUUGACAUUAGAGGUGGCAGAAUUUACAUUACCCCACCAAGUGCCAGUGCCACAGGAGGUUGUCGCCAUGGCAGCGCCCCCUUCUGCUGCUUUCACGGCUGCUUAAUUAUUCACAACCCCAUGCCUGGGCUAUGCGGGAACAUCCUCGACUACCACACACACACAAGUAAAAAGUCAGCCAUAUUCACCAGCAUAAUACAACAAACAGACUUAACAAGCUUCCUAAUAGCCCUGAUGUUAGCAUGUAUGCAAAAUGUGGGGCCUAAAAUGAAGGAUGUAGUCAUUGGGGGGGAUAUUACGAUCUUCAAGCAACAUUUCAGAAGAAAAAAGUUAAACGUUGCUUUAACCCAACAUUGAUCAGCUAAGACAUGCUCAGUAUGCAGUGUUCCACUGGAAAUACAAUGCUAACAUGGAUCUAAAAUGGAUUAUAGCCUCCAGUUUAGCAUUGCAUCUAAAACUCAUUUGUUUGUGUUUUCUAACAAGGUAUAGCACUGUCAUCUGUAAAAAUGCACAAAGUGAAGUCAAAAAGGACUCUGAAAGUAAGUGGAAAUUCAGUCAUCAGUAUUCAGAACUACAGUAUGUAUCGCUGUUUCAAAACUAGCAAGAGAUACGCACAACAGGGGGCUGAGUUUGAGUAAGACUUGAGUGCGUUUAUCUUGCAUGAUACAAGAAGUGUUAAGUUCAGUGCUACUGUCUGACAGUUUGAUGUAAUCACAAGUGUGAAGUAUAUCACACUCAAUCAUGUUCUGGGCUGUAAAAAUCUUUAAACUGUAUGGAAUGCCAUUUGAGGUGAAUAUUAAAUACAUAAAUGUGACCAAACUUUUUUUCUUUUCUUUAUAUAGGGCAGCAUUAGGAGACGGCGUCUUAAUCUGAGACAAGGAGUGAAUUUUUUUUUUUUCAAUUUAUUUAGAAAUUUAUGAAUAAACUAAAAAUGAGCUGUAAGUAUAGCAGAUGAAUUCUCGGCCAGCGUAUUCAACUGGACGCUUGUUUCCUUUCGAGGAGAGUGCAUAAACAAACAUUUUGUUAUUUUAGUAAAAGUGUGCUUAAGGGGUUCAGUUUGUCUUACAUGCUGUAAUUGCGCACUUGCGAUGUCCUUAAUUAUAACGUGAGGGAACGAGGCCGUGUUGCUCCUCGCUCGCAAUGUAGACGCAGUGAUGAACAGUGGUGGUGCAGGGAAGAUCCGUAAUGUCAAAAUAAAAUGCUAUGAUCAAAGUAAAUAGAAUAAAACCAUAUUAGUGAGGCAGUAGUGAGAGUUUGGGGGACUGUGAGAGUAAACAAAACAUGCCAAUGCUUUGAAGGAUGUGAAUUGGAACGGAGUAAUGUUAUUCAAUUGCGAAUCUGUUUUCAGAGGAUUUAAACCUAACAUGGUGAACAAAUUAUAUUAUAGAAUUCAGG